rnacentral:rRNA from 1 species
CGGCGAGUGAGCGGGAAGAGCUCAAAUUUGAAAUCUGGUGGCCUCAGGUCAUCCGAGUUGUAAUCUAUAGAAGUGUUUUCCGUGCUGGCUCAUGUACAAGUCCCUUGGAACAGGGCGUCAUAGAGGGUGAGAAUCCCGUCCUUGACAUGAACUACCAGUGCUCUGUGAUACAUUUUCAACGAGUCGAGUUGUUUGGGAAUGCAGCUCAAAAUGGGUGGUAAAUUCCAUCUAAAGCUAAAUAUUGGCGAGAGACCGAUAGCGAACAAGUACCGUGAGGGAAAGAUGAAAAGCACUUUGGAAAGAGAGUUAAACAGUAUGUGAAAUUGUUGAAAGGGAAACGAUUGAAGUCAGUCGUGCUCUUUGGAUUCAGCCGGUUCUGCCGGUGUACUUCCUUUGAGUGGGGUCAACAUCAGUUUUGAUCGCUGGAUAAAGGCUGGAGGAACGUAGUACCCUCGGGUAAACUUAUAGCCUCCUGUCACAUACAGUGGUUGGGACUGAGGAACGCAGCACGCCUUUAUGGCCGGGAUUCGUCCACGUACGUGCUUAGGAUGUUGACAUAAUGGCUUUAAACGACCCGUCUUGA